UGGGGAAUUUUGGACAAUGGGGGAAACCCUGAUCCAGCCAUGCCGCGUGAGUGAAGAAGGCCUUCGGGUUGUAAAGCUCUUUUGUCUGGGAGCAAAAGGCUGUUGCUAAUAUCGACAGCUGAUGAGAGUACCAGAAGAAUAAGCACCGGCUAACUACGUGCCAGCAGCCGCGGUAAUACGUAGGGUGCAAGCGUUAAUCGGAAUUACUGGGCGUAAAGCGUGCGCAGGUGGCAGAUUAAGCCAGAUGUGAAAUCCCCGAGCUUAACUUGGGAACUGCGUUUGGAACUGGUCAGCUAGAGUACGUCAGAGGGGGGUGGAAUUCCACGUGUAGCAGUGAAAUGCGUAGAGAUGUGGAGGAACACCAAUGGCGAAGGCAGCCCCCUGGGAUGCUACUGACACU
rnacentral:rRNA from 1 species